GGUUAGAUUUGGGGAUCUUGGGGACCAAGGUUGUUGUCAAUAGUAGAUUUGGGGCUCAGUGUGGUAGGGGAGGUUGGAGUUGUCGGGCGAGGCUCAUUGGACCUUAGAGCUUGGCCAGGCCGAGAAGGGGGGAGAGAGAUGAGCAGAUUAAGACUCGCACUACCACAUCGAUAAGAGGCCUUAGGCUUUUCCUUCUGCCGCUACACCAUGGAGGCUGAGCGGGUUAGGGAUUAAGGGGAUUAGGGCAUGCUCCUUUUUUUUCUUUUUUUUUUUUGAGAGGAAGUAGGCAUGCAUCAUUGAAUUAGUAGGAUAGGAUGCAUGAAUUGUCAGGGCAUGGGUUAUGGGUUGAGUUAAUCAUAAAACGGAUGAGCUAAGUAUAGGGGUUAAUUUGUUUGAGGGGCUUAAUCAUUAGUGUUAGUGGGUUUUAGUUGCUCUAGGUUAUAGGAUAAGCAUUAAGGGGUCCAAUCCUCUGGUUGGGCUGAGUUUUGUGUCCCGAAUCAGGCUCGGGCUUCCGGACCGGCCUAGCAUUGAGCUGAGCCUGGCUCAAAAUUUAUUCUUGCCAUGUUUUGAGUCCCAAAGCUGACUCAAAUGUCUUGGGCUGGGCUCAAAGUUUACCAGAAGCGGAGGCCUACCAACUAAGCACUCACUUUCUAAAACAAUUAUAGUUUACCUUAGAUAGUUCAAUUGGAAAUGCUAUUCUAAUAGGAGAUUUGAUAAAUAGAGUGUAAAGUCUUUAUUUAGUUAUGUUACUUCUUCCUUUGAUAUUCUUCUUUCUCAUCAUAAAUUUUGGUUUCUCUAUUUAAUCAAUUAACUUAAAAUGAAUUUGAUUGUAUUAGAGGAACCAAUGAAGACCAGCAUCAAAGAUAUUUAGAAGGUUUUCUUUUAUGCAAAGCUAAUUAUUUCUUUGCACUUCAAUGACAUAACUUAUAUUAAUAACUGGCUGUAAUAGUUAUGAUUAGUUUGUAAGGUAAACUGUUACAUGUUUCCUGUCUUUUUCACAGUACUUUAAAUUAAUCUCAUUAUGCUUGUGCUUUUGUAUUAUUUCAAUUUGUGUUAUACGACAGUUGGAUUUAUGUCGUAGAUGCCAUGAUUUGAGCUAUUACGCAUCUUUUGCCUGGCUUUCUUGGGCUUCAUUCACACAAGAAAUGCUAAUUGGCGUUUAUGAAGGUGCAAGAAGACAAGACAAUUCAUGGUUAUUUAAGAGAAUGGAGUAGUGGAUGGUCAUGAAAAAGCCGUUGAAGUUGAAGCUGAUGACUCUACAGUUGGUGCAAUCCUUGUUAAUGGAAAUGAGGGUGAGGAAGAGUGGUGUAUGAAAAAUGAAGGAACCCAUCAGCCUAACAGCCAUCUGGUUACUUGUUUUCCCCCAUUCACCACCCCCCUCCCCUCCUCUCCCCUUCUAAAAAACUCCUACGUGUUUAGGAUUACUAAUUGUAUAAGUGCAACUUGUUAGUGAGUAGCAUGUCUAUGCCCUCUUUACAGAAAAUGAAACAAGGCCAUCCUUUCAACCCAUUCCUAGGAAAGAAUUUUGGAGGCUGUUUGUAGCAUGGAGUACACCAGCCACUAGUUUGCUCAUGAAUAUCAGUAGCUGUGGAAAAUGUGCUAUGGUGUAGAAUUCUUAUCAAGAUUCAUCGUACCAGUGUGUACCAUCCUAUACUAGGCAUAUUGAUUAUGUUCAUCACAUCAAAAGAAUUUUGCAAUUUUGAUAUGAUAAUAUUAUUUUCCACACUAGAUUCUGUACAUAACCAUAGUUUCAAGGUUCUCUCUCGCCAUUUCAAUAUUUGUAAUUUGAUUUUUGACAGUUUGAUGCAGUUACAACUUUUUCUCUAUUUACUCGUCUUUCCCUGCUAUUUAAGUUUUGCAACUCAUAAGCCUUUGGUAUACAUUUUCUAUAUUGUUUUCCAUAUUCGUGUAUGCUCACCCACCUUCUCUAACGCUGUUGUUCAUUGAUCUUGCAGUGCUAACUCCACAUCAAUAGGGAGUAGGGACCUAACAGAACAAGUUUCAGAGAUCUAUCUCCUCUUCUUAAGGUGACGAGUUAUCCUCAUGGGGAAGAUAAAAUGAGAUCCAUUAUUUACUUUUUUGCUGAGAUAGUGAUCCCAUUAUCUUUUUUUGGUGCCUGAUUGAGUAUCCUAUGCCUUAUAGCUUUAGAAUAUUAAGAGUCCUCAUCCAACACAAAUACUCCAGGAUAUGAAUAUAUCUGGGCUGGCAUAUUCUCGGUUGAUUUCAUCUGUUUAAAAAGAAAUAUAAAGCAGGGCCACAGGACUCGCGUUGAGUUGGUGGGACAUCGAAGGCUCUUGUCCUUAAUAGUUGUUUGUUAUCACAAGGUUAACUUGCUUGCCUUUCCUUUGUAGUGGUAACCGCUAAGCUUCAUCAAGCACCAAAAUGAGACAACUGUCAUGAUCCUUUUGCCCCCCUGCUGAAAGGUCUGCCUUAUUUUUCUGAAAAAAUAAAUAAACCUGAACAGAUUUAUAGAUGUUGCAAAACUUUGGCAUAAUGGAAUUCCGUGUACGUUUAAUCAUA